GGUUAAGCGACUAAGCGUACACGGUGGAUGCCCUGGCAGUCAGAGGCGAUGAAGGACGUGCUAAUCUGCGAUAAGCGUCGGUGAGGUGAUAUGAACCGUUAUAACCGGCGAUUUCCGAAUGGGGAAACCCAGUGUGUUUCGACACACUAUCAUUAACUGAAUCCAUAGGUUAAUGAGGCGAACCGGGGGAACUGAAACAUCUAAGUACCCCGAGGAAAAGAAAUCAACCGAGAUUCCCCCAGUAGCGGCGAGCGAACGGGGAGGAGCCCAGAGCCUGAAUCAGUGUGUGUGUUAGUGGAAGCGUCUGGAAAGGCGCGCGAUACAGGGUGACAGCCCCGUACACAAAAAUGCACAUAUUGUGAGCUCGAUGAGUAGGGCGGGACACGUGGUAUCCUGUCUGAAUAUGGGGGGACCAUCCUCCAAGGCUAAAUACUCCUGACUGACCGAUAGUGAACCAGUACCGUGAGGGAAAGGCGAAAAGAACCCCGGCGAGGGGAGUGAAAAAGAACCUGAAACCGUGUACGUACAAGCAGUGGGAGCCUCUUUUAUGGGGUGACUGCGUACCUUUUGUAUAAUGGGUCAGCGACUUAUAUUCUGUAGCAAGGUUAACCGAAUAGGGGAGCCGAAGGGAAACCGAGUCUUAACUGGGCGUUAAGUUGCAGGGUAUAGACCCGAAACCCGGUGAUCUAGCCAUGGGCAGGUUGAAGGUUGGGUAACACUAACUGGAGGACCGAACCGACUAAUGUUGAAAAAUUAGCGGAUGACUUGUGGCUGGGGGUGAAAGGCCAAUCAAACCGGGAGAUAGCUGGUUCUCCCCGA
rnacentral:rRNA from 1 species